rnacentral:rRNA from 1 species
CUACGUGCCAGCAGCCGCGGCAAUACGUAGGUGGCAAGCGUUGUCCGGAUUUAUUGGGCGUAAAGCGAGCGCAGGCGGUUCCUUAAGUCUGAUGUGAAAGCCCCCGGCUCAACCGGGGAGGGUCAUUGGAAACUGGGGAACUUGAGUGCAGAAGAGGAGAGUGGAAUUCCAUGUGUAGCGGUGAAAUGCGUAGAUAUAUGGAGGAACACCAGUGGCGAAGGCGACUCUCUGGUCUGUAACUGACGCUGAGGCUCGAAAGCGUGGGUAGCAAACAGGAUUAGAUACCCUGGUAGUCCACGCCGUAAACGAUGAUUACUAGGUGUUGGGGGUCGAACCUCAGCGCCCAAGCUAACGCGAUAAGUAAUCCGCCUGGGGAGUACGUACGCAAGUAUGAAACUCAAAGGAAUUGACGGGGACCCGCACAAGCGGUGGAGCAUGUGGUUUAAUUCGACGCAACGCGAGGAACCUUACCAGCGUUUGACAUC